AGAGUUUGAUCCUGGCUCAGAUUGAACGCUAGCGGCAGGCUUAAUACAUGCAAGUCGAGGGGCAGCACGGUUAGCAAUACUGGUGGCGACCGGCGCACGGGUGACGUAACACGUAUACAAUCUACCUUAAACAGGGGGAUAGCCUUUCGAAAGAGAGAUUAAUACCCCGUAAUAAAUUGAACGGCAUCGUUUGAUUUUGAAAGCUCCGGCGGUUUGAGAUGAGUAUGCGUCUGAUUAGCUAGUUGGUGAGGUAACGGCUCACCAAGGCGACGAUCAGUAGGGGACCUGAGAGGACUAACCCCCACACUGGUACUGAGACACGGACCAGACUCCUACGGGAGGCAGCAGUAAGGAAUAUUGGUCAAUGGAGGCAACUCUGAACCAGCCAUGCCGCGUGCAGGAUGACGGCCCUAUGGGUUGUAAACUGCUUUUAUACAAGAGAAAACCCUGGUACGUGUACCAAGUUGAUAGUAUUGUAAGAAUAAGCAUCGGCUAACUUCGUG
rnacentral:rRNA from 1 species